AGAGUUUGAUCCUGGCUCAGAACGUACGCUGGCGGCACGCCUAACACAUGCAAGUCGAACGAAGUAGCAAUACUUAGUGGCAGACGGGUGAGUAACAUGUGGGUAUCUACCCUUUGGCCUGGAAUAACACGAGGAAACUUGUGCUAAUACCGGAUAAGUCUUUACGGAGAAAGCUUUAUGCACCAUUGGAUGAGCCCGCACUUGAUUAGUUUGUUGGUAGGGUAAUGGCCUACCAAGACUAUGAUCAAUAGCUGAUUUGAGAGGAUGAUCAGCCACAUUGGGACUGAGACACGGCCCAAACUCCUACGGGAGGCAGCAGUGGGGAAUCUUGCACAAUGGAGGAAACUCUGAUGCAGCGAUGCCGCGUGAGUGAAGAAGGCCUUUGGGUUGUAAAGCUCUUUCGUCGGGGAAGAAAAUGACUGUACCCGAAUAAGAAGGUCCGGCUAACUUCGUGCCAGCAGCCGCGGUAAUACGAAGGGACCUAGCGUAGUUCGGAAUUACUGGGCUUAAAGAGUUCGUAGGUGGUUGAAAAAGUUGGUGGUGAAAUCCCAGAGCUUAACUCUGGAACUGCCAUCAAAACUUUUCAGCUAGAGUAUGAUAGAGGAAAGCAGAAUUUCUAGUGUAGAGGUGAAAUUCGUAGAUAUUAGAAAGAAUACCAAUUGCGAAGGCAGCUUUCUGGAUCAUUACUGACACUGAGGAACGAAAGCAUGGGUAGCGAAGAGGAUUAGAUACUCUCGUAGUCCAUGCCGUAAACGAUGUGUGUUAGACGUUGGAAAUUUAUUUUCAGUGUCGCAGGAAACCGAUAAACACACCGCCUGGGGAGUACGACCGCAAGGUUAAAACUC
rnacentral:rRNA from 1 species